rnacentral:rRNA from 1 species
UACGAAGGGGGCUAGCGUUGUUCGGAAUUACUGGGCGUAAAGGGCGCGUAGGCGGUGAUGUGAGUGUGAUGUGAAAGCCCCGGGCUUAACCUGGGAAGUGCAUCGCAAACGACAUGACUGGAGUAGAUGAGAGGGUGGCGGAAUUUCCGGUGUAGCGGUGAAAUGCGUAGAGAUCGGAAGGAACGUCGAUGGCGAAGGCAGCCACCUGGCAUCAUACUGACGCUGAGGCGCGAAAGCGUGGGGAGCGAACAGG